UCACCCGGAACUCUUACAGUAGCAGUAGAAUUAGCUUCAGUUGAAUGAAAUGGCCUGGAAGUCAGAAUGGAUUCUGACUCUUUCGGGGGCAAAGCGAGAAUCGGAUCCUCUCUUCUCCUCUGGGCUAAAUCCUCCUGGCUCUUCCUAAUCCCUCGGAAACAUACUCUAGAAUCAGCUACUUUAUCAGCUAGAAUAAAUG
rnacentral:lncRNA from 1 species